rnacentral:rRNA from 1 species
UACAGAGGUCUCAAGCGUUGUUCGGAUUCAUUGGGCGUAAAGGGUGCGUAGGUGGCGCCAUAAGUCAGGUGUGAAAUCUCGGGGCUCAACCUCGAAACUGCACUUGAUACUGUGGUGCUUGAGUACUGGAGAGGAGAUUGGAAUUCCUGGUGUAGCGGUGGAAUGCGCAGAUAUCAGGAGGAACACCAAUGGCGAAGGCAGCUCGCUGGGACGGUACUGACGCUAAGGCGCGAAAGCGUGGGGAGCAAACAGG